rnacentral:snRNA from 1 species
GUGCUUGCUUCGGCAGCACAUAUACUAAAACUGGAAUGAUACAGAGAAGAUUAGCAUGGCCCCUGCGCAAGGAUGUCACGCAAAUUCAUGAAGCGUUCCAUAUUUUU